CAGGGAGACAAACAAGAUUGUGAUGUCAGUCAAUUUUGUACUGACCAUGAUCGUGUCACCUUAGGUCGAUCGGUACCUCAGCAUGACUUGCAUGAGUGAGUCAUGAUCAGUUCUUGAACUUCGUCUAGGUCACCCCGCAACGGGUCCUCCUGGGCCAUUAGCUCAGGUGGUUAGAGCGCACCCCUGAUAAGGGUGAGGUCCCUGGUUCAAGUCCAGGAUGGCCCAUUCGUGAUUGGGGGUUUAGCUCAGUUGGUAGAGCGCCUGCUUUGCAAGCAGGAUGUCAGCGGUUCGAGUCCGCUAACCUCCACUGACGCUUGACCGCCGCGCGUGAGUGUGGAAGAAACGUAGGGUGACGAGACAGGUUAACAGCUGAGAACGAAUUCAGCAUUGUUCCAUGCCUGAGAGGGUUGGAAAAAUGCUGGGCUCUGCCUGGUUGCGCGAGCAACCGGAGUUUAGUUCAGCGGAACCUUGACAACUGCAUAGGUGAGUCUGGAAACAAGCAUCUCAUGGAAGAUGUUCUGUUGACAGCUGUGAGGGCAACGAUGAGCGAAGCAAUUCGCUGAUUGAAGCUCUUAUAGCUUGAGACGGGGCAUCUAAUUCUUGAGUUGAGUCUCCAUGAGCUUCAUCAGAGAUGAUGGAGCGGAAU
rnacentral:tRNA from 1 species